CACCAAUCAAGCACGGUUCCGCAAUCAAGGAGCUGAUGGACGCCCUCCUACUCCCAGAAGAAGUGGCUAUUUUGAAGAUAAAAGCACAUGGGAAAGCUGAUCAGGCUGCAAAACAAGCUGCAAAAGAACCACAGGAAGUGGAAAGAAGAGUGUCCGGAAAUGAAGAAACUCCCAUAUUUACUCUGCAGAUUCUUCCAACUGACCUGAAAAUCCUGCGGGAACAACAGGCUACAGUUGCC
rnacentral:lncRNA from 1 species